GUGGAUUAGAUACCCUGGUAGUCCACGCCGUAAACGAUGUUCACUCGCUGUUUGCGAUACACAGCAAGCGGCCAAGCGAAAGCAUUAAGUGAACCACCUGGGGAGUACGAUCGCAAGGUUGAAACUCAAAGGAAUUGACGGGGGCCCGCACAAGCGGAGGAACAUGUGGUUUAAUUCGAUGAUACGCGAGGAACCUUACCUGGGCUUAAAUGUAGAACGACAGAUUGUGAAAGCAGUCCUUCUUCGGACGUUUUACAAGGUGCUGCAUGGCUGUCGACAACU
rnacentral:rRNA from 1 species